rnacentral:misc_RNA from 1 species
CGCGCGAGGCGAUCGUGCUUUACGCCGAUCAGGUGCGGCUGUCGCAGGUCGUCGCCAACCUGCUGACGAACGCCGCCAAAUACAUGGAGCCGAAGGGGAGGAUCGACCUGACGGCAAAGCGGGAAGGAAGCGAGGCCGUCAUUUCUGUCCGGGACGAGGGACUGGGUAUUCCGCCUCACAUGGCGCCGCGGGUCUUCGAGAUGUUCGCCCAGAUCGAGCACACGCGCCGUUUCGCUCAGGGCGGACUGGGAAUCGGCCUGGCGCUGGCCAAGCGACUGGUCGAGUUGCAUGGGGGCCAGAUCGAAGCGCGCAGCGAGGGGGUCGGUCAGGGAAGCGAGUUCGUGGUGCGGCUGCCUUUGUGCGGCGAGCGCUCCGAGCGGCCGGCAGGGGAGUCGGCUUCACCGCUGCGGCCGGCGAUGCCGCGGCGCAGAAUCCUGAUCGUGGACGACACGCGGGCGGCGCUGCUGGUGCUGAGCAAGCUGCUGACCGUCAUGGGGCAAGAUGUUCUCACGGCGGGAAAUGGGGCCGAAGCGCUGGACGCGGCGCGGCGCGAACGGCCGGACCUCAUCAUUUCCGACAUCGGAAUGCCGGAAAUCGACGGGUACGAAUUGGCGCGGCGGCUGCGUCGGGAGCCGUCGCUGCAGGACGUGGUGCUCGUGGCGCUGACUGGGUAUGGACAGCUAAGCGACCAGGAGCGAGCGCGGGAAUCGGGAUUCGAUUUUCACCUGGUGAAGCCGGUCAGCGUCGAAGACCUGCAGAAGCUGCUGA